CCGCCGCCGUCGUCGUCGUCACUCGGCAGGCCGCGUUUACGGUGUUGCCAACGCACACGAGACGUAUUAUGAUAUUACAUAAUAUUAUUAUUGUUGUGCCAUUGUUGUAGCUAAAAAGUAAAAAAUUAAUCGUGAAAAUAUCAUUUCAACUAAUACCCGUAUAAGAAUAUCACGAGAGUAAAACAUCAAUUAAUAUUGUGCGUUUUAAACGCAAGUGUUGAUCAGCACCGUCCUCAAUCGAUCUCUGACCGCAAUCGAAUUUUAGCGGCCCGACUUCAAUGAGUUCAAUAACAAUUAAUGUACCUAAUCGGAGUGUUGGAUUUCGGUUUCAUAUUUUUUUUUUUCGUUUGUUUGACACCCACUUACCCAAAAAAUUGCAAUAUUAUGAUCAUGUUCGCCUAAUGCCGGAAAACAAUCCGCGGCCUCUGCAGCACACACUGGACAGUCUUACUGGUUUCUCCGAGUGGGCAGAAUAGAGACCAAAAACCUAUCCGAGUGGCAUAAUUAGGUGUUUAUAUUUUUUGUCGUAGGUACGUGAAAAUC